rnacentral:rRNA from 1 species
GAUGAACGCUGGCGGCGUGCCUAAUACAUGCAAGUCGAGCGAAUGGAUUAAGAGCUUGCUCUUAUGGAGUUAGCGGCGGACGGGUGAGUAACACGUGGGUCACCUGCCCAUAGGACUGGGAUAACUCCGAGAAACCGGGGCUAAUACCGGAUAACAUUUUGAACCGCAUGGUUCGAAAUUGAAAGGCGGCUUCGGCUGUCACUUAUGGAUGGACCCGCGUCGCAUUAGCUAGUUGGUGAGGUAACGGGUCACCAAGGCAACGAUGCGUAGCCGACCUGAGAGGGUGAUCGGCCACCCUGGGACUGAGACACGGCCCAGACUCAUACGGGAGGUAGCAGUAGGGAAUCUUCCGCAAGGGACGAAAGUCUGCCGGAGCAACGCCGCGUGAGCGAUGAAAGCUUUCGGGUCGUAAAACUCUGUUGUUAGGGAAGAACAAGUGCUAGUUGAAUAAGCUGGCACCUUGACGGUACCUAACCAGAAAGCCACGGCUAACUACGUGCCAGCCGCCGCGGUAA